GAUUGUAUGGUAUGUGAAUAUAUUUCAAUAAAACUGAAUUUAAUUAAAAAAAAAUACAUAUAUAUAUAUAUCCCACCUAGGUUGUCGAAUGGUGAAGGGAGUGUUCACGUAAGCUAUGGCAUUUCCAUACUACAGGAUACUGUGCAGCCGUUUAAAAAGAUUAAGGCAAAUCAACAUGUGCCACUACAGAAAGACAUUAGUGGGAGAUUGUUUCAUUUUAAAAGAAAUCCAAGUGACAGAAUAUGAAUAUUAUGACUACUUGUUCUCCACCUUGGCAGCCUGAGGAGUAAAGGACACUCACGGUCGUGACGGGGGACUCCAGAAUGGUGCUGGGACCAGGUGAAGUUCUCCCUGUCCUGCUGCACCUCCGUGAUGAUCUUGAAGUUGCGGCCCUUUUCGAUGACUUCGCUGGGGAGCCCUGGGUGCAAAGACAAGCACAAUGCCGCAGAAUUCACCACAGUUGCUGACUCCCAGAUCUGAGACUAAGUGGCUUCUGCACUGAUGAAAACUACAUCACAUUUGGCACAGAGUAAGUGCUCAGCUCAACAAAUAUGCGGAUGAAUGAAAGAAUGAACAAAUGAAUGAAUGAAUGCAGUGAAGUCCUGCCCUGCUCUACCCCAGGGAUUCAGGUUCCUGGCCUAGAGCUGCCUGGGAAGGCACACUCAGGAGCUCACUCACCAAGGCGCUUCAUGAACUCGUCGUAAUUCUUCUCACUCUCGAUCUCAUACUUGCCGUUGAAGGCCAUGCUGCUGGGAGCACGAGAGGCCAGAGAGCAGGGCGAUGAGGAAGUCUGUGCUCUGGGGUCUGCUGCCCCUGCUUAUAAACUCUCCGGGCUGCUGACUAAAUCACCCCACCUUUCCCUCCCACCUGCUGUUUUAUGAUGUUUCUGUGUUUUAUGAUGUGGGAGGGCGUGGCUUGGGGCACAGCCCUGAGGUUGUUCACCCUGGGGAAGCACUCACUGCAAUCCCAUUGUCCUUCCCAGCAAGGCCAGGGCCGAGACUGCCACAGGGUUUGAGAAUCACCCACCUCUCUGCCCAGCCCUCCCUCCAUUCAUCCAAGCCCUCUGUCCGUGCUCUCCUCAUCCAUUCAUUUGCUCAUUCACUCCCUCAUUCAUCAACAAAAGUACACUGAGCACCUGCUGCAGGUGGAGCCAGCACUGAGGAAACAAAGAUGAAUGAGCUGUACAUCCUUCCCCAAGAGAGCUCCCCAUCUAGCCCAGAGAGCUGGGGCAUCUUUGGGCAGGAGAGGGCAUCUGAUACAGAUCUUGGAGGAACAAUGGGAUCUGGAUGUUUAGAGAAGCGGGAAGGUUGGAGGAGGCUGAGAAGGGAGGGAGAGGACAUUCUAGCAAGAGGGUACAGUGUGAUGAAGGGGAAAGGGCCAUGAGGAAGAAAGGAAAACAGUGGGUUUGGCUGCAGCAAAGAGCCCUUGAAGGAGAAAAGACACAAGAAGCCUGCAGAUGAAGCAACCAGAGUGAAGUGGCCACUCGUGGACCCAAGGAGCCACCUUGGAGGAGGAGGUUCCAGGUACACAGAAGACCUGCCACGUAUCUGAUGAAUUUUAUUGUGUUCAAGCUUCAAGCUGCGAGGGGCCGGGGGCUGAGAACCCCAGUACCACUUCACACUCGGGGACUCGAUCUCCCCUUGUCCUGCCUUCAGUAUUGCUCUCUGGAUCAAACCAGUUUGUGACACAAAGUAUAAAGCACUCUAUGAGGGUUCUUGUUGUUAUUAUCUGCCAGUCUCUCUCCCUUGCCAGGGUCUGCACUCAUGAAUCCCCAUCAUUUCUGUCCAUAGCAGAAUUCACCACAGUUGCUGACUCCCAGAUCUGAGACUAAGUGGCUUCUGCACUGAUAAAACCAACUCCGUCACCUUUUGCCAGUACUCGCCACUCUUGGAGUUCCUUACCCCAACCAGGGUUCUCACAUUAGGUUUUGUAUACAAUCUAAAAUUUAUGUAGUUUAUGAAAACAUAUAGUUUAUUUAUAUAUACAUGGAUUUUUCUAAUAACAAAUUAUAAAUAUUAAAAUUUCAAAUAAUUCAGAGCAAGUGAUAGUUCCAGUAGAGGUGGCCCUUGAUAACAUUUUGGUAUCUAUCCUUCCAGACUUUUAAAGACAUUUAUAGGCAUGUCUAUAUCAUUAAUAAAGGUGUAGCAUAUCCUUUUUAAUAACUCCAGAAUAUUCCACUGUAUGUAUGUUUCAUAAUUUACCUAAUUAUUGCUGAAUCCUUAGGUUGUUUCCAGUCAUUUUCUGUUAUAAA